rnacentral:rRNA from 1 species
AUGCCGAUUAACGUUGAGGAGGACCGGGAUGUUCUUUCCUGGCGCCUCGAGCCCUCUGGCCGUUUCUCCACGAAGUCCCUGUACGGCGCCAUUGCUCCCUCGACGGCCCCGGAACCAUUUAGCCUGAUCUGGGACAUCCGACUUCCGCUGAAAAUCAGGAUCUUUCUGUGGCAAUGGAUCCGUGGACGCCUCCCCUCUGUGCUUGAAGUCCUCAAGCGUAAUGGCCCGGGUGAUGGGAUGUGCCCCAUCUGUGGCACGAUUGAGGAUGCUAACCACAUCUUUUUCUCGUGCCACUCGGCCCAGUUCCUUUGGGCCUGCUUCCGUGAAACGGUUGGCGAACAGUGGUGUAAUACCAACUUCCCCGACCUGCUUGUCGAGCUCAACGCUUCCCCUACUCGCUACCGCCAUAUUAGAUGGUUGUGCGUUGGGGUUCUCGCCUGGUUGCUUUGGAACAUUCGUAAUAAGCUUGUUAUUCAGAAGGUGCCUCUCCGACGUGCGACUGACGCAAUCUUCAAAUUGUGUGGCUACCUGCAGCUUUGGCGGCCGCUUAGCCGCCCCAGGACCGGGACGUCAUCACCACCCUCCUCUCCGAUCUCCGCUCGAUGGCGCUCCGCGUGGCUCCCCCGCUGCCGCCUCCUCCUCCUGAGCCUGACUAGACCGCCUGGCGGCUGUAUGGCGUGUGUGUUUUGGGUUUAG